UAAAAACAACUUUUAAUCUAUUUUUUUUUAAAUAACUUCCGUAAUUCUAUUAUAUAAUGUAUUAAUACAAUUUGUUUUAUUAAUCUGAAUUUCCCCGCCUAAAUUGACUUCAAUGUGAUGUCAUCAAAAUAGCCGGUUCAACAUUCAAUUAUUUCAUUUGGAGUAUCAUGGUUAGCUCUUCUGUUGCGUUUGGUCGUCAUAAUACGUAAAAAGGUGCUUCAUCAGGUAGCAGUUUUUAUGUACUUCCUAAAAAUCCAAGUUAGAAAACUAUUAAUUUAAAGAUUCCUUUUAAGUUAUGCUUUUUUAUGGUAGAAAUUCGUAAGAAAUGGAUACAAGCCUGUCGUCGAAAAGAGCCACCAUAUCAUCAUGCUUUCUUGUCCGAGUUUAGUCUGAUUCAUCAUGCUCAGAGUCCAAGUCUAUAAUACAAUGAAUCGAGUACCACAGCUUUGGUAGUAUCCAACUUGAUAGCCAAUUAUCAAUACAUCGAGAUUAUAUCUAUCACUUUGCAGAAAAAAAUAUAUCACAUAAUUUUUGCCAUCGCAGUCGCACAGAGAUCCUAAGAUAAGCAUAGCACAUACUUUUUCUGUGUCCAAUUUCCCAUGCCUCUGAGUCCUCAUACUCCGAGUCCAAGUCCGAUAUAACUCGAAGUCCUCAUGCUCAGAGACAAUUAAAAAAAUGAAUUGAUAGACACAUGGAUUGAUGAAGGUGGUCAUAACUCAUAUCAUCAACGGAAUGACAACGUCAUGGUUCUCCAUCAUUCAAACAAAUGUCUGAUUCUUCAUUCUUCUAUUUAUAGAGAGACGAGCAUAAUGAAAACGACUCAAUUCACUUUAGAUUAUGGAUUCAUCAUAUCAGUGAUAAAACAAUGAGAAAAAUACAAGGAUCAAGAGAUUUUUACAAGUUAACACUAAACAGUAAAAGAUAAAAUAUUAAUUUAAAAAAUAAAAUAAUAAUAGCUAUAAAGUAUAAGUAUCAACAGCUGACUUUCUUUUAGACCCUUGUUUGUGAACAGCUGAAAUUAAUUUCAAUGUAUGUACUACUUUGUGAGCUUAAUUUAAUUAUUUUUAUUUUAAUUAGGUAAUACUUAUUAGUUACAAUAUAUUGCUCAUAAUGUUCACAUGUAGUGCAGUGUAUUGUAAUAAUAGAUUAACUUUGACUAAAAAGUUUCCUGGCCUAUCGCCCAAGAAAAUAUUUAAUUUUCCAAAAGACAUCAAUCGUAGGAAGUUGUGAAUCAAUGCCAUCAAACGUGCGAAUUGGACUCCCACCAAAGACUCAAGCGUUUGCCAAGUUUACUUCGAAGAAUCACUAUUUCUGAGGAAGUCUUCAAAAGGACGGUGGCGUUUGGUACAUAAUGCAAUUCCUACUUUAUUUGAGCAUGUUAAGAUAGUCAAAAAACGAAAGCUUCCGUUUAACCGAAACAGAGACGCAGAAAAACUUCAAAGGAAGCAAAGAAUUCUAAUGAUAGAACAUUCGUAUGCUAAAACACAUGGGACAUCAAAUAAGGAAGAUUAUUCUUAUCACGAAGCUCAAAACUCAUUCUUAUCAGACAUUUUUAUACAAGAAGCCCCUGAGAUUGAAGUUUUAUCAUACGUACCAUGCUCUAAUUGUAUCAAUUUAGUAGUGACAAAUGAAUCUUUAUCUGCAAAAAUACAGAAUCUUCAAGCAAAACUUGCCAGGAACAGGGCUUCAAUGAUGUCAACUAAAAAAAGCCGUAAAAAAAUAUCGAAAAAGGCUUAGUUUUGUUGCAAUACCUAUAUUGAAGGGUUCUUGAAGGACGAUCAAUUAAGAUGUUUGUCCAAGAAAGGAAAUAACUCUAGAAUCAAAUGGCGAAGUCCAACAGUUAAAAAAUCACUCAAAUUAAGAUUUGCUUGUGGUUCGCCAUGGUAUGAAACUCUUCUUGAUAAAGGAUUUCCUUUACCCUCGCUGAGGACACUGCGCAGGAAAACUGAAUGCAUUUCAUUUGAAAGCGGUAUUUUGAAUGAUGUUUUUGAGUUUUGGACGUUUAAAAUAACGACCUUCAGUGAAAAAGACGAAAAUUAAAAACAAUCUAAUAGCUUUAAGUCAGUUCAUGAACAAAAAGAGAUCUUCUAAUGAUCAAUAUGAUGAUGGUGAAUAUCUGAUUGAUUUAAAAGAAGGAAGAAAUAAAUUUGACGAAGCGGAUAAUGCAUAAAGAACGAACUUCUCAUCUAGAAGAAGAUACUGUGUUGCCUGAACAGCAAACUGAUGUUUUAUAUUAUAUUGCAGGCUAUAUUUUAAAUCAAAUUAAGACUUAUCAGUAUGUUCGUUGGGAUUGUAUGAGUUCGUUAUUUAGAGCACUAAGGAUAGUGGCCCGUAUUAAAAACUCAUUGAUGUAAAAGAUUGUACCAGCCAAACUUUAUCCCGCUAUAUCAAGGAAAUCUUCGAAACUAUAUUCUUUGCAGCCGAGAAGAGAUUUCGCAACUAUAUCUAAACUAAAAAAAUUAAGGAUUUAAAAAAUAUAACAAAAAUCCUGUAAAAUAUAACUGAAAAAUAAAUAACAAAUAUAUCACUACACGACCGUCAUAAUAUUAAGACAAAAAUUAUGAGAAAAUAUUAUCAAGUUCGUGUUAAGAUGUUCACAAAAAUUUCUCGAAAGAGACCAACAAAGGAAGGAAAAACAAUGUUUAGGCUAGCAAAAGUACAAGUUUGCAUGAAAUUGUGCAACAAAUUUCUUGAUAAUUAGCCACAUUUAAUUAUAUAUAUACUUUAUAAAUUCAUUUAUAAAAGUAAUAAAAAAAGUAUUAACAACUAUUUUAUAAAAAUAAAUAUUUUAAAUUGUGAAUUAUGAGAGAAUAACAACUAUAAAUAUCACAGUCGGUGCAAUAGCUUAGAUGAUUUGACCUUAAUUCUUUCCUUCAUAUUUUUGUUGUAGAUUUUUUUGUUUGUCCGCUCUUUCCCUUAAAUACUUUAAUUUUGGCUAUCAAUUCUAACUUUGAAUUACGCGCUCUCACAACUCGUUCUACGGUUUCGAAUACUCUUUUGGUUUUUGGAAUACAUAAACUAACUAUCAA
rnacentral:lncRNA from 1 species